rnacentral:rRNA from 1 species
AGAGUUUGAUCAUGGCUCAGAAUCAACGCUGGCGGCGUGCCUAACACAUGCAAGUCGAACGAGAAAGUGGAGCAAUCCAUGAGUAAAGUGGCGACCGGGUGAGUAACACGUGACCAACCUGCCCUCGAGUGGGGAAUAACCCCGGGAAACCGGGGCUAAUACCGCAUAACAUCGCAAGAUCAAAGCAGCAAUGCGCUUGAGGAGGGGGUCGCGGCUGAUUAGCUAGUUGGUAGGGUAAUGGCCUACCAAGGCGAAGAUCGGUAUCCGGCCUGAGAGGGCGCACGGACACACUGGAACUGAAACACGGUCCAGACUCCUACGGGAGGCAGCAGUGGGGAAUUUUGCGCAAUGGGGGAAACCCUGACGCAGCAACGCCGCGUGGAGGAUGAAGUCCCUUGGGACGUAAACUCCUUUCGACCCGGACGAUACUGACGGUACGGGUGGAAGAAGCACCGGCUAACUCUGUGCCAGCAGCCGCGGUAAUACAGAGGGUGCGAGCGUUGUUCGGAAUUAUUGGGCGUAAAGGGCGCGUAGGCGGCGCGGUAAGUCACCUGUGAAAUCUCCUGGCUCAACUGGGAGCUUGCAGGCGAAACUGCCGUGCUGGAGUGUGGGAGAGGUGCGUGGAAUUCCUGGUGUAGCGGUGAAAUGCGUAGAUAUCAGGAGGAACACCUGUGGCGAAAGCGGCGCACUGGACCACAACUGACGCUGAGGCGCGAAAGCUAGGGGAGCAAACAGGAUUAGAUACCCCCGUAGUCC